CUACCCUUGACAUACAGAGAACUUUCUAGAGAUAGAUUGGUGCCUUCGGGAACUCUGAUACAGGUGCUGCAUGGCUGUCGUCAGCUCGUGUCGUGAUAUGUUGGGUUAAGUCCCGUAACGAGCGCAACCCUUAUCCUUAGUUGCUACCAUUUAGUUGGGCACUCUAAGGAGACUGCCGGUGAUAAACCGGAGGAAGGUGGGGACGACGUCAAGUCAUCAUGGCCCUUAUGGGUAGGGCUACACACGUGCUACAAUGGCCGGUACAGAGGGCCGCAAACUCGCGAGAGUAAGCUAAUCCCUUAAAGCCGGUCCUAGUCCGGAUUGCAGUCUGCAACUCGACUGCAUGAAGCUGGAAUCGCUAGUAAUCGCGGAUCAGAAUGCCGCGGUGAAUUCGUUCCC
rnacentral:rRNA from 1 species